rnacentral:rRNA from 1 species
AUUGAACGCUGGCGGCAGGCCUAACACAUGCAAGUCGAACGAGUGGCGGACGGGUGAGUCAUGUCUGGGAAACUGCCCGAUGGAGGGGGAUACCUACUGGAAACGGUAGCUAAUACCGCCUACCAUCGGAUGUGCCCAGAUGGGCUUGGCUAGUAGGUGGGGUAACGGCUCACAUAGGCGACGCUCCCUAGCUGGUCUGAGAGGAUGACAAGCCACACUGGAACGGAGACACGGGCCAGACUCCGACGGGAGGCAGCAGUGGGGAAUAGUGCACAAUGGGCGCAAGCCUGAUGCAGCCAUGCCGCGUGUAUGAAGAAGGCCUUCGGGUUGUAAAGUACUUGCAGCGGGGAGGCGUUACCCGCAGAAGAAGCACCGGCUAACUCCGUGCCAGCAGCCGCGGUAAUUC